rnacentral:tRNA from 2 species
GCGGAUAUGGCGGAAUUGGCAGACGCGCCAGAUUUAGGUUCUGGUGUCAAUAGACGUGCAGGUUCAAGUCCUGUUAUCCGCA